UAGGGAAUCUUCCACAAUGGACGAAAGUCUGAUGGAGCAACGCCGCGUGAGUGAAGAAGGGUUUCGGCUCGUAAAACACUGUUGUAAGAGAAGAAUGACAUUGAGAGUAACUGUUCAAUGUGUGACGGUAUCUUACCAGAAAGGAACGGCUAAAUACGCGCCAG
rnacentral:rRNA from 1 species